ensembl:piRNA 21ur-4820 ncRNA
UGCUUAAUGGAAGAUAGGGAA